GCCAGGGUGGCUCAGUCGGUUGGGUGUCUGACUUCAGCUCAGAUGCCUCGGGCUCAAGUCUGAUCUCACAGUUCGUGGGUUCAAGCUCCACCACCGGCU
rnacentral:tRNA from 1 species